rfam:Ailuropoda melanoleuca scaffold2498_17, whole genome shotgun sequence.
CCAAAGGCUCUUUUCAGAGCCACUUCAUUUUCAUCGAAAGAGUUGU